rnacentral:misc_RNA from 1 species
AUACCCUUUUUUCUUCGCCUUUUGUGUUCGUUUUGUACCUCGCACAUUGCCUAUUAUGGCGUAUCCUUUUUUUUUUUGCUUUUUUCUUCUGUCUAAUCUCUCUCUCCCCAUAUGGUUUUACCUUUCAUGGCUUGUACCUCCCUCCCCUCCCCUACCCCCUCCCCAGCCAGCCCGUCCGCUCUUCCGCGUACUUCACGUCUGUGGGACACACGAAAAAAAAAGAAAACAAAGGAAUAACAGUAAAGCAACAAACGGCAAAUGGAAAAAAAAAACAGGAAAUACGUUCUGUCUCUUCCGCUACUGUCUUUGCCCCGCAUUCUUUGUUUUUCUUGUGCAGCGCCUGCGGCCUUUUUUUUUACAGUCUCCCUUUGGGCUCCCCCUUCUUGUCCUCCAGCAGCAGCAGCACGCGCGUCUGCGCCAUGCGCUCUGCCUUCUCCCCCGCUUACGUGAGCUUCAAGAAGGAAAGAGGGGGGGGAACAGGACAUACAGGGACUGCGUGGCGGGCCUUCAAGCAGAACAAAAAGGCUCAGAAGACGGGCACUUACCCAGCCGCAGUUGAAUCUUGAGCUGCUCACUCUAGCUGUGCGGUGCUCCGCGUCUCGAGUACUUGCACGUCUGCUGGCCAAC